UACGUAGGGUGCGAGCGUUGUCCGGAAUUACUGGGCGUAAAGAGCUCGUAGGUGGUUUGUCGCGUUGUUCGUGAAAACCUGAGGCUUAACCUUGGGCGUGCGGGCGAUACGGGCAGACUGGAGUACUGCAGGGGAGACUGGAAUUCCUGGUGUAGCGGUGGAAUGCGCAGAUAUCAGGAGGAACACCGGUGGCGAAGGCGGGACUCUGGGCCGAUACUGACGCUGAGGAGCGAAAGCGUGGGGAGCAAACAGG
rnacentral:rRNA from 1 species